rnacentral:rRNA from 1 species
CGCGGCCUAUCAGCUUGUUGGUGAGGUAACGGCUCACCAAGGCGACGACGGGUAGCCGGCCUGAGAGGGCGACCGGCCACACUGGGACUGAGACACGGCCCAGACUCCUACGGGAGGCAGCAGUGGGGAAUAUUGCACAAUGGGCGAAAGCCUGAUGCAGCGACGCCGCGUGAGGGAUGACGGCCUUCGGGUUGUAAACCUCUUUCAGCAGGGAAGAAGCGAAAGUGACGGUACCUGCAGAAGAAGCGCCGGCUAACUACGUGCCAGCAGCCGCGGUAAUACGUAGGGCACAAGCGUUGUCCGGAAUUAUUGGGCGUAAAGAGCUCGUAGGCGGCUUGUCACGUCGGUUGUGAAAGCCCGGGGCUUAACCCCGGGUCUGCAUUCGGUACGGGCUAGCUAGAGUGUGGUAGGGGAGAUCGGAAUUCCUGGUGUAGCGGUGAAAUGCGCAGAUAUCAGGAGGAACACCGGUGGCGAAGGCGGAUCUCUGGGCCAUUACUGACGCUGAGGAGCGAAAGCGUGGGGAGCGAACAGGAUUAGAUACCCUGGUAGUCCACGCCGUAAACGGUGGGAACUAGGUGUUGGCGACAUUCCACGUCGUCGGUGCCGCAGCUAACGCAUUAAGUUCCCCGCCUGGGGAGUACGGA